rnacentral:rRNA from 1 species
UACGUAGGGCGCGAGCGUUGUCCGGAUUUAUUGGGCGUAAAGAGCUCGUAGGCGGUGUGUCGCGUCGGCCGUGAAAACCUGCAGCUUAACUGUGGGCUUGCGGUCGAUACGGGCAUCACUGGAGUUCGGCAGGGGAGACUGGAAUUCCUGGUGUAGCGGUGAAAUGCGCAGAUAUCAGGAGGAACACCGGUGGCGAAGGCGGGUCUCUGGGCCGAUACUGACGCUGAGGAGCGAAAGCGUGGGGAGCGAACAGG